rnacentral:rRNA from 1 species
GACGAACGCUGGCGGCGUGCUUAACACAUGCAAGUCGAGCGGUAAGGCCCUUCGGGUACGACGAGCGGCGAACGGGUGAGUAACACGUGGGUGACCUGCCCUCCACUUCGGGAUAAGCCCGGGAAACUGGGUCUAAUACCGGUUAGGACCUCCUCAUGCAUGUGGGGUGGUGGAAAGCUUGUGUCUUUGAUGCUUGCGGUGGGGGAUGGGCCCGCGGUCUAUCAGCUUGUUGGUGGGGUGAGGCCUACCAAGGCGACGACGGAUAGCCGGCCUGAGAGGGUGAUCGGCCACACUGGGACUGAGACACGGCCCAGACUCCUACGGGAGGGCAGCAGUGGGGAAGUCUUGCGCAAUGGGCGGAAGCCUGACGCAGCAACGCCGCGUGGGGAUGACGGCC